rnacentral:lncRNA from 1 species
GUCUGUUCGUGCCAAUGUUGUUCUCUUUGUGUAAAUGUACUGCUUAGGUGUCUCCGUGUCUGUGCAUGAACGCAACGCGCAACUAGUAUCCCGAGUAUAGGCAAACAAGUAAAACUUUGACAGACUUUAAAAUCUUGUUUAUAUCGAUGUGUUAUGUUCAUAAAUGUAUAGAAAUAUCAUGAAAUGUGUUAGGCUUUGGCUUGGGGUUAAAUCUAACCCUAGAACCUUAACCUUAAUCCAUUACAUGAUCUGUAUAUUUGUGUACGUAAUAUAUGGGUGUGGCCAAAGUUUUGUUGAAAAGCUGGCAUAGUUUUCCUUCGGUAGGAUAACUAAACUGGGUGCAAAUGGUAUCCAUAGCUUAGAGGGUGCAAAUGGUACCCGUAAGAAGAUUGGUGGAUACUUCUGGACAAGAUUUUUUCAAAGAUGUGGAUUCUCUACGGGUACUCCGGUUUCCACCUACAGAAAGAUCAGCUUAGGACUGUAAUGACAUAGUUAUUGUAAUGAUAAACAGUCUAUAGGCUUUAGUGAAUAAUAAGGAAAGGUGUAUCAUCUUUCAUCGCCCGUAGUGCAUGUAUAUCGCUGGUUUCGAACGUUAGUUUUCUGCCCCGUGUACUAUGAAAACAGUUCGCUACCAGAGAUUAGGGUCCCCACUCUGUUAUGGCGGUUCGACGAUGGAAGACAUUAACAUAAGGCAUGCAAACCUUACCCCUGUUUGCGGAAGCUCACCAGGUGCGAUCGGCACACUAGGUUAAGUUAAUUAAGCUAGGGGCAUGACCGAGACUCCACAUUCGGGGGUUUCCCUUGCAGGUUUUUGAAAGGUUAUAUGCGCGCGCGCACUAGUUAGGAAGGUUAGGCAGCUAGAAAUAGGGCGCUUUGCACGCAUACUAUAAGGCAUGUAUACAUGCAUACUAUAAUUCAUUAUCAUCGUAAUUUUGCGCCAGUAACAUUCUGAGAAGUAUUUAAAACAACAGGAAAAUGAAAUCUGUUUUCCAGUUGAAAAAUACUUACAGAAUCAAUUCAAAGUGGACAAAAAGAAAAUAUUGCAAAAAGAGAAAAAUAAAAAAUAAAACCAAGAAGCCACUUUGAAUAUAAGCAACAAUAGUCCAAGAAUACUCGUAGCAGAAAAAAACAACAACAAAAAAGAAACACUUUUUCUGCCUAAAAUAUCUUGGAUUAGGGGCUUAACGAUAAGAAACGUAGUUCUCGCUCCAAAGUGGAGAAUAGGCUCGUUUCUUUAGGUUGCUAAUCAUUGCGCGCGCGCUUUAUAAAUUAUACUAUAAGUUUUCAGUCGGAAAGACCGCCAGGAAAAUAGGGUGUUUUCACGUGUUGCUUUGUUGACGGACAAGUAUUUUAAGAUAAUGAUUUUCUUGUUUACUUGCAUUUCGACACUUUAACUUGCUCCCAAACAUAGCCGCCGUGAAAACACUCUGCAGAUCAAGUUUAUAUAUGGUCAGCAACAUAGAAUGUUUGCCAUGUUGCAUUCCGUGUUGUCUUGCAAUUGUUCAUACAUUAACUUGGUCAACCAUGGAUCAUAAAAACACCAUGGUCGUGCGCAGCUAAUUAACAUAAGUGGCGCGCGCGUGCUGCUGUAAUGCGGAGUACAGUCAGUGAGUGUACUCCAUGUGCAUAUAGUGACGUC